UACGGCCUGGCCGCAGGAGCCCCAAGAAUUUAUGAAUGCCUUCCGGUCGUAAACCUCUUUCACCUGUGAUGAAAAUGACAGUAGCCUGUAAAAAAACCCCGGCUAACUCCGUGCCACCAGCCGCGGUAAUACAGAGGGGGUUAGCGUUGUUCGGAAUUACUGGGGGUAAAGCGCACGUACGCGGAUUGCUUAGUUGGGGGUGAAAUCCCGGGGCUCAACCCCGGAACUGCCUCCAAAACUAUGAUUCUAUAGUUCGAGAGAGGUGAGUGGAAUUCCCAGUGUGUAGGUGAAAUUCGUAUAUAUUUGGAGGAACGCCAGUGGCGAAGGCGGCUCACUGGCUCGAUACUGACGCUGACGUGCGAAAGUGUGGGGAGCACACAGGAUUAUAUACCCUGGUAGUCCACACCGUAAACAAUGAAUGCCAUACGUCUGGGAGUAUACUGUUCCGUGACACACCUAACGGAUUAAGCAUUCCGCCUGGGGAGUACGGUCGCAAGAUUAAAACUCAAAGGAAUUGACUGACGGU
rnacentral:rRNA from 1 species